rnacentral:rRNA from 1 species
AUUGAACGCUGGCGGCAGGCCUAACACAUGCAAGUCGAACGGUAACAGAAAGCAGCUUGCUGCUUUGCUGACGAGUGGCGGACGGGUGAGUAAUGUCUGGGAAACUGCCUGAUGGAGGGGGAUAACUACUGGAAACGGUAGCUAAUACCGCAUAACGUCGCAAGACCAAAGAGGGGGACCUUCGGGCCUCUUUCCAUCGGAUGUGCCCAGAUGGGAUUAGCUAGUAGGUGGGGUAACGGCUCACCUAGGCGACGAUCCCUAGCUGGUCUGAGAGGAUGACCAGCCACACUGGAACUGAGACACGGUCCAGACUCCUACGGGAGGCAGCAGUGGGGAAUAUUGCACAAUGGGCGCAAGCCUGAUGCAGCCAUGCCGCGUGUAUGAAGAAGGCCUUCGGGUUGUAAAGUACUUUCAGCGGGGAGGAAGGGAGUAAAGUUAAUACCUUUGCUCAUUGACGUUACCCGCAGAAGAAGCACCGGCUAACUCCGUG